GAUGAACGCUGACAGCAUGCUUAACACAUGCAAGUCAACUUGAACUUCGGUUUGGGUGGCGGACGGGUGAGUAACGCGUAAAGAACUUGCCUCACAGAUAGGGACAACAUUUGGAAACGAAUGCUAAUACCUGAUAUUAUGAUUUUAGGGCAUCCUAGGAUUAUGACAGCUAUAUGCGCUGUGAGAGAGCGUUGCGUCCCAUCAGCUAGUUGGAGAGGUAACGGCUCACCAAGGCGAUGAUGGGUAGCCGGCCUGAGAGGGGGAUCGGCCACAAGGGGACUGAGGCACGGCCCGUACUCCUUCGGGAGGCAGCAGUGAGAAAUAUUGGACAAUGGACCGAGAGUCUGAUCCAGCAAUUCUGUUUGCACGAUGAAGUUUUUCGGAAUGUAAAGUGCUUUCAGUUGGGAAGAAAAAAAUGACGGUACCAACAGAAGAAGUGACGGCUAAAUACGUG
rnacentral:rRNA from 1 species